CCCAAUUGGUACCACGUUUAACAAAUGAGAUCCUGUCUGGUCUUGUACAAAAGCAAUAAAAGGAUCUUCUUCCUAAAAGCACUGAGGACAAGAAAAAGAAAAGUAUGUAUCAAUAAGAAACUCACAUGAACCUCAUCACUUGCGACUUAUGAGAGAAAGAAGAACAGAAAAGGUGUCCUGUCUUCCCUUCAAAAUCAACUAGCAGGCCCUUUGUUUUUCUCCUUUUCUAUUAUUCAGCUGAAGCACAGCACAAAACACACAAAUGUCAGUGGACAACUGUCUUUUUUAUAAAAAAGAAAACAAUUUAGGAAAGAUUGGUGGGUAAGAAAAUUGGCACCCACUGGCUGAAAGGUAUUUUGGGAUUUUCCAAGGAUUUAACUGGUGUGCCUCCUAUCCCAUCUUCCCCAUAAGAAAAGAAUAGGAGAAAAUAAGAUUAGGAAAACAUUCUGAGAUUCUCUUAAAUUUCAACAGAUCAUCCCAGUCUGUCUCUAGUAAGGGGAGUACAACUUUUAUGACCCUUCAUCCUCUUGUGAAGAUGGAAGCCUUCACUUUAAAAAUAUUUUAGGCCAGGUGCAGUGGCUCAUGCCUGCAUUCCCAGCACUUUUGGAGACCGAGGUGGGAGGAUCACUUGAGCCAGGAGUUUCAGACCAGCCUGAGCAACAUAGCGAGACCCCGUCUCUACAAAACACAAAAUUUGAAGAAAAAAAAAAAAAAUAGCCAGGAUGGUAGAGCACACCAGUAGUUCUAGCUCAGGAGGCUGAGGUGGGAGAGUCGCCUGAGCCCAGGAAUUCAAGGUUGCAGUGAGCCAUGACCUCAUCACU
rnacentral:lncRNA from 10 species